CAGAAUUGAAGGAAAAAAAGGGGAGUAGAUCACCUCCCAUUCUCCACUUUUCUCUUCUCAUUUUACUUUUGUUUAUUGUUCUUUUCCUUUUUUCCACCUGCUUGAUCUGUGUCCCCUAAAUUCUGGAUUCAAUCAGAAGUCCUCUGAAAAAUCGAAAUCUGGUUUAUUUGUUUGAAAUCUUGUCUGCUCAAUAAAACAUACACUAGGAUUGACAGGGCCAGAGAAACUAAACGUCUUCAGGAUAUUCUGUAAGUGCUGUUUCUAAAUUCUCACCACCAUUUUCCUUUUUCUCACUGUCUCCUUUUAAGCUUUGUAACUCUUGGCACCAGGGGAAAAAAUUUAAAGUUUUUAAAAAGCAACCUGAGGCCAGAGUUUGAAAAGCUUACAAAAAGAAAAAAUUACUGUAUACAUAAUAUUCUACAUCGCCUUUUCCUAGCCAAAAAAGAUGUCACAAACUUUUCAAACGUGGAGAUGCAUAAUAGGUUUGGCAUAUACAGGGGAGGGGAUUGUGGAAUCUAAUUCCAAACGGGGAAAACAAAGUUUGAAUUUAUUUUCUAAGUGACUCAGGAGAGAUUUAAAAGUUGAAAUGUUACCAUUUGUUUGGCUUCUCUCAACAGCAUCAGCCAUUUUCAUUUCACGUGGGAAGAACAAUAUGAGACAAACAACCUAAGAUUAAAUGAAACCAGUUGGAUUGGAGAGAUGCAUUUACAUUUUACCACCUGGAUAAGUGUAUUUUCCUCUUGUGGCUUUAUAGGCUUGGGGGCUAUUGAAAAAUAUCUGUCUAUAAAUUGAAUCAACACUCAUUAAACUCAUUAAGAGAAAUGUAGUUAGGAAUUUAGUAUGGAAAGCAAGCCCUUCGUUUUUAUUGGAUUUUACAAUAGGGAGCACUCUAAGCUUUUAGACAUUAAGGCAGGAAGGGGCUAACUAUAGAAAUUACUCCAGUGUGGGCUUCGACUUUGGAGAGGCUAUGCUUCUCUAGAGAGAAUGUAUGCACAGCAGAAGAGUAAGAUGAGGCAGAUAUUUUAUUUCCUACACAUCCCAAAAUAAUAACCCUACUCUGAUUUAUCUUACCAUUACCCCAUUUUUUCUCCCCCUCAUCCACAACAGUUCUCUAACUCCUGCCUGGUUUUCCUUUAGUUUCAUAACUCUUCACAGAUGACUUUUGAAAAUAUUUCACUCUCUGCAGCCUGAUGAUGACGACGAAUAUUUUGCUGUAUGUUCAGAAACAAUAAAUUAUUAUAUAAUUAUCACUGUGCACAAGACAGAAGAAACCUAUCUCUUGAAAACAACACUUAAAAUAUUCACAUAAAAUGCAAAUUAACUGUCUUUUCAUAAGAGAAUUAUCUUUCUGUCCUGUAAAGUUCUUCCAGGAUAAAGAAUUUCCACUUCCAAAGUUUAUUUCCAAUGGUUUCAACUUAGCAAACAUGUAAACAUGUCCCAGGCUCCAGGAGCUAUGCUAGGUACUAUACAUAGUAUACAAGAGGGAAAGAGAGAAGGCAACUGCCAAUCUCUUUCUGGGAACUUUAUACCUUACCUUACUGAGGUACCAUUUACUAUGGAUUAAACAGAGUUAAAGAAGAUAACUAAUUUUUACAAGACAGUGACCUACCAUUUGAAUCUGAAUUUUCAAAAAUCCAUGAUAUUUUCCACUAUCCUAAAGUUUGAGACAACUCAGAAGGAAAUAAACAUUUGUACUAGGAUAAGUCAAAAUUCUAUUUAUCAGAAGUAAUCUUAGAAAGAGAGACUACUAUAUUAAUUUGGAAUUAAUUAUUUGAUAAGCCCACCCACACCCCAUACUAUUUCUGAUGGUUCUUUUGGUUUUUGAUAAGAUGGCAAGGGUGUAAAUGACAAGAAAAAAAAUGUGUUGUUCCUGGGAAGGAAAGGGGAAGAGGGUGAGCAAAAAACUUCUAAACCCUUUAGACUCCCCAGUGCAUUCAAGUUGGGCAUCUGUGAAAACACCUGAAAAACUUGAGCUUCAAGUCAUGACCAACCUGGAGGUAAAACAGACUCAGUUCAAGUGGAUCUGGGAAUUGAAGGGGCGGCUUAGAUUCUGCUGAAGUGUGAAUUAAUGUUACAUUUGAUUGAUUCUUUUUUUUUUUUUUUUUUUUUUUACUUUGGGAUAUUUUAAACUUCUUUUUUUUUUUUAAUUAUACUUUAAGUUUUAGGGUACAUGUGCACAUUGUGCAGGUUAGUUACAUAUGUAUACAUGUGCCAUGCUGGUGCACUGCACCCACUAACUCGUCAUCUAGCAUUAGGUAUGUCUCCCGAUGCUAUCCCUCCUCCCUGCCCCCACCCCACAACAGUCCCCAGAGUGUGAUAUUCCCCUUCCUGUGUCCAUGUGACCUCAUUGUUCAAUUCCCACCUAUGAGUGAGAAUAUGUGGUGUUUGGUUUUUUGUCCUUGUGAUAGUUUACUGAGAAUGAUGAUUUCCAGUUUCAUCCAUGUCCCUACAAAGGACAGGAACUCAUCAUUUUUUAUGGCUGCAUAGUAUUCCAUGGUAUAUAUGUGCCACAUUUUCUUAAUCCAGUCUAUCAUUGUUGGACAUUUGGGUUGGUUCCAAGUCUUUGCUAUUGUGAAUUAGUGCCACAAUAAACAUACUUGUGCAUGUGUCUUUAUAGCAGCAUGAUUUAUAGUCCUUUGGGUA
rnacentral:lncRNA from 1 species